ACGUCGCGUUUGCUUUUGUUCGUUUGUUUUUUGUUUGUUUGUCGAUGAACAAUGAAUCACUCUACUGAGUCGAAUCCGCUUGAAUCGCUUUAUUCUAGUCAGUUAACGUUAGCAAAUGCUGGGAUUGUUUGGAGCAGUUUUCUUCUCAGUCAAACUGUGACGCGAUAUUUCAAAACAAAGAGCGAAGAUAUCGUUGAAUUAAAUGGAAAUUAAUCUGCAAUCGAUGGAGGCAGACAUUGUCCUGUCGACAUAGAAGGCCUUCGUUACUUUGAACACCUGCACGUGGAGCUUGUGAAGUUGUGAACGACUCGAUGGAUACAGUGAACUCAUCAGCCGGUGCUCCUGCCAUGUCCUGGCUCCUGUGUCUGUGGAUAAGUGUUAGCUGCUUACUGCUGUGCCACGCCACUUUGUAUGAGACCAUCCAACAGCAUCAUGUGACCCGCCCGGGCCGCAACGCCAUACAGAUACUGGAGGGAGGAACAUGUGAGGUCAUUGCAGCACACCGAUGUUGCAACAAGAACCGUAUUGAGGAGCGUUCCCAGACCGUCAAGUGCUCAUGUUUACCGGGAAAAGUGGCCGGAACAACACGGAACAAACCCUCCUGUGUAGACGCCUCCAUCGUGAUUGGGAAGUGGUGGUGUGAGAUGGAGCCAUGUCUGGAGGGAGAGGAGUGUAAGACAUUACCAGACAACUCCGGCUGGAUGUGUUCCUCUGGGAACAAGAUCAAGACCACGAGGAACACCCAGCCAUAUUCAACUUUUUAGCUCUGAGGGCCACCGAAGCUGGCUCGCCAGAAGCUCUGCGGCGUCCUUCUCCUCAUCAAGAGAGGGACCCCUCCUUGCCUGUAGCUCCAGACAAGGCAGGCCUCUUUUGAGGAAGGCACACAGUGAAAGAGACUGAGAGACACCCUCACCCUCGCCCUGCAUAUACCUACUUUUACCUGUUCCUAAUGGCUAUAUCAUUCCGUUCCUUAAAAUACAACCGAAAUUGAUGCGUAAACAACGAAGACAAGGUUUACAUCCUCCCCCAGUUUAUGUAACUUCAUCUGCCUCAUUUGAGAGGAGAGAUGGACUCAACCUGUCACUAUUGUAUGGCUGUGAGCCAUUUUCUCCAGGCUGGAUAAAUCACCUCAGGACUGGCCCUUAAAUCCAACGUCAGAGGCCAGAACAAUUUCAGCGGAUGAGCAUUCUAAUCUCAUUGGUACUCAUAUGUAUCCAUACAUACAUUUGGAUAGAUGGUGAAGUGUACAGUAUGGACAUAUUGACAGCAUCUAAAAUGUAAAUGUAGGCUUUACUUGUGCAGAGAUUCAGAAACAUAAAUAUAUGAUUCCUUUAUAUUAUAUUUAUAUUAUGCACAUCUGUAUAGUUAAACUUUACAACUUUAGACAUUUUGAGCCCAUAACUCCAAAAAUAAAAACUGGGAAAAAAAGGAAUAUGCAGAUAAAUGUACAUGACAAUAAUUUUAAUGAUAAUUUACCAUUAUAUUUACCAUUUUUUUUACUUUGCCUUUGCCUACAGAACAGAUCAGAACUGACAGGAAGUGAAGUGAGAGAGAGAAAGAGAGAGAUAGUCCACAAAGCUAUCGGUGCUGAUUUAUAUAGAUAUUUUAAAGUCUUUUUUCAUGAAGAAGUUGGUUAGAAGACAUUCAAGACCAAACAUCGUAUUGCUUAAAAGUUUCAAUUAUACAAAGUCACAGUGAAUGGGUCAAAUUGUCGUCUUUUUCUCACACAAAUCUAUCAUGUUUUAUGGUGACUUGAAAUGUAAUGUAUGAAUAGAAUGGAUUACAUGUAUUAUUAUUAUUGUUAUUUAGUGUAUUUUGCAUUCUUUGGUGAAAUACUUUAAAACGAGCUGAAUAUGGCAGCAGAAAUCGCAAAGCAGCUUGUUGAGAUGGAUGCUUUAAAAACAGUAAAUGUGAUGGCAUUGAACAUAUUUUAUAAAUAUCUUCAGUUAUAUACAAUAAAGUCAGCCUAUUAGUUCCAUUAAUUCAGUAUUAUAUUAAGUUCAGAAACAUUUCAUACGUCUCUAAGGUUGUUCAUACAGUAUGUUAAAUCUAAACAUUUUAGAUGCUGUCAAUAUGUUAAUAUUGUACAUGACAGUGUCUAAGAACUACACUUUAAUGAGAUCACAUUGUGAUAACGAGUGAAAGUUGUCAAAUCCAACCAAUUUGUCCACUAAACCUUUUCCACAAAACAUGUUCCAUAAAUACUUUUACAUGGAAACAGUAUGCUUAGUUCUGAGAAAUUGUAAUGGCUUGCUGUUUCCUCAUUUGUCUUUGAAACACAUGUUCUUAACAAGAGGCCUUUUACAAGAAUCCCAGCUGUGUGGAUUUUCAGAGCAAAAGUAAUCUGCCAAGUGAUGGUUUAAGAUUAAAUCACAUGAUGAUUAAGUCAGUUUGUCUCAAGAGACCUGUUGAACCCAGAGCUUUGACUGCGUCUGUAUCUCUUUCAGCUGUCAAUGUCACAUUAAAUUAAUUCUAACACAUUCAUGCUGUCUGGAGUCUUGCUGUAUGCUAUCCUCAUUUAAAAGUCACAUACAACAGCUGCAUAACCUAAACCAGAUUACAUUUUUAGCACAUGGAGCACGCACAACAAAAUUGAGAUAUCAUUUGAGAAUUAAAAUGCAAAUGGUGUACAACGAAUGUAUUUGCGAUGUGCUUUUAACCCUGGAUUCAGCCAAUCAAUGGAAGCUGUAGCAGACAGUAAAGGACACCUGAGCAGAGAUGGAGGAAUUAUGGCAGCAUUUGCAUAGAGUCCAAUAUAACAAACCACACUGGGAGAGACAGAGUUAUACAUACUAGCAGACAGCCGAAGACAAAUUGCAUCAGGGUCACUAUGCUUCUUGCGUUGUAUGUGGGGGUUGGAAGUUGCACAGCAUGCAAAAGCUCUUAUUUGAAGAGGAAAGACAAGGAACAUUCGGCUUAGGACAAAGAGCUGUCAGCUAAUGUUUACAUGUAUAUAA